AUUGAACGCUGGCGGCAGGCCUAACACAUGCAAGUCGAACGAGUGGCGGACGGGUGAGUAAUGUAUGGGAAACUGCCCGAUGGAGGGGGAUAACUACUGGAAACGGUAGCUAAUACCGCAUACCAUCGGAUGUGCCCAUAUGGGAUUAGCUAGUUGGUGGGGUAAAGGCUCACCAAGGCGACGAUCCGUAGCUGGUCUGAGAGGAUGACCAGCCACACUGGAACUGAGACACGGUCCAGACUCCUACGGGAGGCAGCAGUGGGGAAUAUUGCACAAUGGGCGCAAGCCUGAUGCAGCCAUGCCGCGUGUAUGAAGAAGGCCUUCGGGUUGUAAAGUACUUUCAGCGGGGAGGCGUUACUUGCAGAAUAAGCACCGGCUAACUCCGUGCCAGCCGCCGCGGUAAUAC
rnacentral:rRNA from 1 species